AGCCAGCGUGGCAUAGCGGUCUGAGUGUUGGACUACAACUCAGGAGACCAGGGUUCGAUUCUCAGCUCGGCUA